GGUGUGGGUAGGGGAGAAAUUCCAAUCGAACCCGGAGAUAGCUGGUUCUCCUCGAAAUAGCUUUAGGGCUAGCCUCGUUUUAGUCUUAUGGAGGUAGAGCACUGAAUUUCCGCGGGGGCGUCAAAGCUUACCAAAGAAUAUCAAACUCCGAAUGCCAUGUAGAUGAUGAACGGGAGUCAGACUGCACGAGAUAAGUUGGGCAGUCAAAAGGGAAAGAGCCCAGACCGCCAGCCAAGGUCCCAAAGUGUGUGUUAAGUGGAAAAGGAUGUGGGAUCUCCAAGACAACUAGGAUGUUGGCUCAGAAGCAGCCACACAUUCAAAGAGUGCGUAACAGCUCACUAGUCGAGAGGUCCUGCGCCGAAAAUGUCCGGGGCUGAAACACAACACCGAAGCUGCGGAAUUGCGAAUGCAAUUGGUAGAGGAGCAUUCUUAAUACCGACGAAGCUGUACCGGAAGGAGCAGUGGAGGGAUAAGAAGAGAGAAUGCCGGAAUGAGUAGCGAGAGAGAGGUGGGAAUCCUCUCGGCCGAAUAUCCAAGGUUUCCAGAGUAAAGCUGAUCUGCUCUGGGUAAGUCGGGGCCUAAGGCGAGGUCAAAAGACGUAGCCGAUGGACAACAGGUUUAGAUUCCUGUACCGCAUAUAAACAGAACUGUGGGGACGCAUGGGGAGAGCAUGGGCCGGGAAUGGAAAUACCGGUGCAAGCGAAGGAGGUGUGCAGCCGGCAAAUCCGCUGCAUGAGCCGAAAGCGUGACGCGGAGCGAAAUGAAAGUAGCGAAGCAUGUGAGCCCUGUGCCGAGAAAAGCCGCUAUAGCUUUAUAUGUGCCCGUACCGUAAACCGACACAGGUGGAUGAGGAGAGAAUCCUAAGGCCGGCGGAAGAAGUAUUGUUAAGGAACUCGGCAAAAUGACCCCGUAACUUCGGGAGAAGGGGUGCCCACGGGAGUGGGCCGCAGAGAAUAGGCUCAAGCAACUGUUUAGCAAAAACACAGGUCUAUGCGAAACCGAAAGGUGAAGUAUAUGGGCUGACGCCUGCCCGGUGCUGGAAGGUUAAGAGGAGAGGUUAGCGCAAGCGAAGCUUUGAAUUUAAGCCCCAGUAAACGGCGGCCGUAACUAUAACGGUCCUAAGGUAGCGAAAUUCCUUGUCGGGUAAGUUCCG
rnacentral:rRNA from 1 species